GGAGCUGGAAUGUAGACGUUUGAAACAAAUGCGCAUAAGUAAAUGAAUUUUUGAUAACUUGGUUAUUGACCUAGAGACUGAUAGUUUGUUGUUAAGGGAACUCCA
ensembl:misc_RNA Gm56052 predicted gene, 56052